rnacentral:rRNA from 1 species
AGAACGAACGCUGGCGGCAGGCUUAAUACAUGCAAGUCGAGCGCGUAGCAAUACGAGCGGCAGACGGGUGAGUAACGCGUGGGAAUCUACCCAGCUCUACGGAAUAACUCAGGGAAACUUGUGCUAAUACCGUAUACGUCCGAUAGGAGAAAGAUUUAUCGGAGUUGGAUGAGCCCGCGUUGGAUUAGCUAGUUGGUGGGGUAAUGGCCUACCAAGGCGACGAUCCAUAGCUGGUCUGAGAGGAUGAUCAGCCACACUGGGACUGAGACACGGCCCAGACUCCUACGGGAGGCAGCAGUAGGGAAUAUUGGACAAUGGGCGAAAGCCUGAUCCAGCCAUGCCGCGUGAGUGAUGAAGGCCCUAGGGUUGUAAAGCUCUUUCACCGGUGAAGAUAAUGACGGUAACCGGAGAAGAAGCCCCGGCUAACUUCGUGCCAGCAGCCGC